UGAUCUCUUUAUUAUUUUCCUUUCAGGUUUUCUCGGCUUUUGGGUAUGUUCAUAAAAUAGCCACCUUUGAAAAGGCUGUAGGUUUUCAGGCAUUGAUCCAGUACACUGAUGCGGCUACUGCUUCAGCUGCUAGAGAAUCCUUAGAUGGAAGGAGCAUCCCAAGUUACUUGCUUCCGGAGCAUGUAACAUCCUGCUGCCUACGAAUUUCUUUUUCUGCACAUAAGGAUUUGAACAUCAAGUUUCAGUCAAACCGUAGCAGGUAAUGCCCAUAAUUUGUUUUCAUGGAGUUAUUCAUUAUUAUUUCUGAUGUAAGAUCCAUCCUUUUGUCCCAUGUUCUCUUAAGUUUGAUCAUUCACUACUUUAUGG